GUCCUAUAUAGAUGUAUCAACGCAAGACAGUUGGGCAUUUCCCUUUAGGAUGUUGUUUAUUAGAAACUUCAGCAAUAAUCUUUAUUGUGUGGCUGCAUAAGUCGAAAUGAGGUGAGUUGAAGUGGAAUGGGUUAUCUGUAAGACCUUGAGUUGAAAAACUCUAAAAUUGACCUAGAGAUACAAUUUUGUAUUUUCUAGUUACAGUUGU
rnacentral:ncRNA from 1 species